AGUAACGUUCCUGGUUGAUGUUUAACACGCAGCUUAUACCAGUCUCUUGUUGUAGAUUGACAACAAGCUGCUUUUUCUAGAAGGAGGAUUGCUUGGGAAACCUUCAGAUGAAAAUGAAAAGAAAACGUCACCAUGGCCAGAGGAGGAGGAAGCGACAGCAACAACAACGGCGUCGACAGCAGCAGCAGGAACGACAGGAGCAGCAACAAGAGCAGCAGCGGCUGCGGCAGCAGCAGCAGCAGGAGCAGGAGCAGCAGCAGCAGCAGCAGGGGCAACAGCGGCAGCAGCAGCAGGGGCAGCAGCGGCAGCAGCAGCAGCAGCAGCAGCAGCAGCAGCAGCAGCAGUGCCAGCAGCAGCAGCAGCAGCAGUGCCAGCAGCAGCAGCAGCAGCAGCAGCAGUGCCAGCAGCAGCAGCAGCAGCAGUGCCAGCAGUGCCAGCAACUGCAGCAGCAGCAGCAGGAGCAGCAGCAGCAGCAACGUAGGAGGAGAAACAACAGGAGGAGCAGGAGGAGCAGGAAGAGUAAGAAGAGCAAGAGGAACAGGAAGACCAGAAACACCAGGAGGAGGAGGAGAAGAAAUAAUGAGUGAUUGUGUCUACGUUUACGGGAAGAGUUUGAUGUGGUAGAAAUGUUGCUUCUUUGGAGAAAUUUGUACUCAAAGAAUUACUCAUGUAGAUAUUCCUCUCUCCCUGCCAAUAAAAUUUCAUCCACCUUUGGUUGUGUACAAGGAAGCUAUUGUGUGUCCAAAGAGUCCUCAGGAAGAGAGGCAUGGAUACUCUUCAGCAAAGAUGUAACACAACAGGCAAGGAGACGGAUCCCAGAGAGACUGCUGGAAUAAAUUUGGAGUUGAGUGAGAAAAAAGAUGGUAGGCUUACACCUUUGGCAUUUACAUCUAACAUAUUUGCCAGUCGGAGUCAAGCAGAGCUAAAGAAAUUUAUUCACACAGAAAAUAUUCCAGUAAUGUUCCUGGUUGAUGUUUAGCUCUCAGCUUGUACGAGGCUCUUGCUGUAGAUUGACAACAAGCUGCUUUUACUAGAAGGAGGCUUGCUCCGGAAGCCUUCAGAUGAAAA
rnacentral:lncRNA from 1 species